rnacentral:lncRNA from 10 species
CUUGUGGCCAACUUUGCUGGAUAUAUCCAUUUACAGUUGGAGAGAAUGAGGGUGAUCUAUAAAAGGAGCUGAGAUAUCAACUGACGUUUAUCUACAAGGAUUUUUAUCAGGGUUGUUUGAAACCAGGGGUCAGCAAAAUUGUUUCGUGACCAGUCAAGUAUUGCCGUGACCCUCAGGUUGAAGGUCACAUAACCUGAGCAUGCCCAGAUGAACCAAGUGUGCAGCCAGAGGGGGAACCUAAGGGCUUGGACUGACGAUCGGGGGACUGAAUUAAGAAGUGGACAUGGCAGGACCCAGGAUCCAAUCAGGUCAAUCCCUAGCAUCAUCUCAUGGAAGGAUCCAAUCAGAUCAUGCCUCCCAGCAUCACUUCAUUGCAAGAUCCAAUCAGAUCAUGCCUCAUUACUUCAUGCCUAUAAAACCUGACCCAGCCCUCUGUUUAGGAGGCACUGUUUUAGGAAUUAUCCCCUGUGGUCCCCUUACUUGCUGCAAGUAAUAAAAUCCCCUUGUUAAGUCCU